CCCUGAACGCCGCACAAGUUUUCCUCUGCAUUGACUGAUGCUUCCUGCUCUUCCUACUUUUCCGCCGCCCUCACAUUUAUCAACAUUAUUUCCACCACAGCUCACAGCUAUGUUACUAUUUUACCUUUGUCCCAUGCCGCGUCUCUCCUGAACGUUUCCCCACGCGUGUUUGAGUCUCGCAUCGAGGCCGCGGGCAGGCAGGCAGGCAGGCCGCCAGCCAGCUUGAAGAAGAAGCCGCCAGCAUGAACAUUGCGACGCACGUCGUGCAGGUGACUAAUGUGUCGCCCAGCACCUCCUCCGAGCAGAUGAGGACUCUCUUCGGCUUCCUGGGCAACAUAGAGCAGCUCAAACUCUUCCCACCCGAUGACUCUCCCUUGCCUGUGACCUCACGUGUCUGUUUUGUAAAGUUCCUCGAGUCCGAGUCCGUGGGGGUUUCUCAACACCUGACCAACACCGUCUUCGUGGACCGGGCCCUGAUCGUGGUGCCGUUCGCAGAAGGAGUCAUUCCUGAUGAAUCCAAGGCUAUGUCGUUGCUGGCUCCCGCUAAUGCCGUGGCGGGAAUGAUGCCUGGAGCUGGCCUUCUCCCAACACCCAAUCCUCUGGCUUCUAUGGGAGGAGGAGCAUUUGGAGGUCCCAGCCUGGAGCAAUUGGCUGCAAUGGGGAUGUCAGGAGCCAACAUGACCUCUCAGGCCAUUUCUGCUGACCUGCUGAAGUUCAUGCAGUCCAUGGAUCCAAAGUUGAAUCCUCUAGCAGCAGGACUGGGCUUCAGUCCUGGCCUGAAGAGCAGCGACUCCAACAAGGAAAUGGAAGAAGCCAUGAAGCGAGUCCGAGAAGCUCAGUCGCUCAUUUCUGCUGCCAUCCAGCCAGGAACUAAGAAAGACGACAGACGCAAACGUUCUCCGUCUGGCUCGCGGUCCCGCCGCCGGCGCUCCAGGUCUCGCUCGAGACAUCGCAAGCGAUCCAAGAGCCGCUCAAGGCGAAGGUCCCACUCCAGGAACAGGAGAAGGUCCAGGAGCCCACGCAGGAGAACGUCUCGCUCCCGAGACACAGGCCGCCGUAGUCGCUCCAGGGACAGAAAGAAGGAGGACAAGUCCAAGAAGAGGUCAAAGACACCACCCAAGAGUUACAGCAGUGCAAGAAGAUCUCGCAGCGUCACCCGUCGGCACAAAAGAAGUACAUCAAGGUCACCUAAGAGGCGCCUAAGUCCAUCUUCAUCACCCAGGAGGCACAAGAAGGACAAAAAGAAGGAGAAAGGUGAAAAAGAGAGAAAAGAGUUGCGAGAGCAAAGCCGAGACAAAGCGGAGCGUUGGAGCAGCAAGAAGAAAAGCCGAGAGCAAGAUGGCGAGCGCAGGUCUGACAGCGAGAAAGAAGAGGUGAAGGUGACCCGCGACUACGACGAGGAGGAGCAGGAAUACAACAGCGCAAAAGAAGGCGACUUUGAGGAAGAGGCCGCAAGCGACUCCGACUCCCACUCCUCACCCAAAGGUGGCGAGGAGGCGGAGACGGCGGAAGACCACGCCCCCAAAAAGUCCAAAGUCAACGGGGACGAGCACUACCAGGAAGACAUGGACAUGAGCGACUAGAACUUUUUUAUACCACUUUUAACGUUAACUCUGCAAAUGGAGGCCGAGACUUUUGUAUGGAGAACAUCUGCAGGCUGAAUGGAACACUGAAGGAAGAAAGAGAGCAGGUACCAGAAGAAUGGAACACUGAAGGAAGAAAGAGAGCAGGUAUCAGAAGAGAUCUUGUUCCGUACAAAGUGAGUUUAUGUAGAAAAAUAGCAAGUUGCAGCAGGUUUACAUCAAACGCUCAUUUGGUCAAAUAAAAACCUGACGCAGGUUCAAGUGAGACCAGUCAAUCAGAGCAAACAUCAACGUACAAGUUUUGUGCAGAAGUAAACAUUUUAAAAGUGGUAUUUAUUACAAACCUUUUCUGACGACGGGAUACUAAAAAAAAAAAAAAAAAGGAAUAUUUUAGAUUUCAAAAAGUUUGUAAAAAGGCUAAAAAAAAAAAAAAAGCCCAGCUUUUUUCUUUACAUUGUGACUUUUUUGACUUCAAUUGUUUCCUCCAACGUAACAAUAAAAACAACUUUUCCAUC